AACGCACAUUGCGCCCCAUGGUAUUCCGUGGGGCAUGCCUGUUCGAGCGUCAUUUACCCCCUCAAGCUCCGCUUGGUGUUGGGCGUCUGUCCCGCUUCGCGCGCGGACUCGCCCCAAAGGUAUUGGCAGCGGUCGUGCCAGCUUCUCGCGCAGCACAUUGCGCUUCUCGAGGCACCGGUGGGCCCGCGUCCAUCAAGCUCACCCCCCCAGUUUGACCUCGGAUCAGGUAGGGAUACCCGCUGAACUUAA
rnacentral:misc_RNA from 1 species